UACAAUUGAAGUCCUCGACUUCAUUCUCUUUUACUUCCUACAACGCGGUUACGACCAGACCUCGUGGUGAGUCUCCGGAACAACAGCUCACCCUCCUAGUCUUUCAUCACCCUCCGCUGCGGCUCACCUAGUUGCUAUCAACACGGCACAAACCAGGUCCUCGACCGCCGUCCUUCGCUUCCAGUAGUUCCAGCGUCAGGUGUCUAGGAGCAGGGACAACACGGUGGGGUGUCUACUAAAGGAGAAACCAGCGGGGAGGAGUGCCUGCGAAGUCUCGCUGUAGAGUCGUGUCGUAACUAACUCCUCUCCUAGUAACAGCACGCGAGCUACCGCCCUUGUCUAGCUCCAGGAGUAAGCUGGAAUUAAAGUUCCAUCGAAACGACAAAUUAAUGUAGGGGAGGAUCGAUCGAUUUUUCUCUGUAAGUGAAGACGCACACGUCUUAACGUACUCAACAAUCACUUUUCAAUCAUCUCGAAGGAAUUAGUACUACAUCAUUAAUCACGUAACGACGAACACACUGUUUGACAUCCUUACUUGUAUCGGUCCUUUAUUUUUACUAGACAUACGAUUUCUCCGAAUAAGAUGUGUACCAUAGAAAUACAGUCAAUGUAUGUCACAGAUUUACGAAUGAAGGGUUAAAAGGAAUUCUAAUAACACAGGAAGGAGAAUCGGAAAUCCGUGACGUUCGAUUUAUAUACACUUUAACGGACAGAGGUCGUCAUCGUAAAGUAGAUAACGUCAGACCUCGUUCACUCGGAAGCGUUCUUUGACAUGGAAGACAAGUUCUAUCACAGGACCAGUAGCGAUGAUGGAGCCGUUUCAGUGUGUCCUGGGUCACGAAGUGUGACGGAGGUUUCGUAAGCUUCGUCCACAGGCGCAUGUACCAUAUUAACAGAGACGUGUAUAUAGUAGCACGUAAGUUUACUUCUUGUUUCUGCAGAUUUUCUAAGACUUCGAAGUAAGACCUCAAUGUACUUAGACCCCGACUGACUCCCUCUAGUUUUACCAUGAUCUACCAUUGUAAUCCGACAUACGGACGUCACUACCAAUUAGUUCUAGCUAGUUUCCGGUACAAGUCCACAGCGACGGCACUGAACAAACCGUAAUCAGACUAUAGGCAAUCCGCCACCAUUGGAAGAAAACUACCAACAGCCGUGUGUAGAAGUCAGUGUGCAUGUGGUAUGCUCCAGACCGGUACUUGAAAUCUUAGGGAUCCAGACUUCAAUCAGGAGAGAAGGUUGACUCGUUAUACGUCUCGGAGAUCAUGCGCGUAGGUACGAGACAGCGGCGGUGGACGAUGAAGUUCAGGCGGUUGUCGGAGCGGCCUUUGACCCCGAAUAGGUAUCGGGUUGAGUUAGAGACGCAGCGAGAGGAGUGGACAUAUGUACGUAGAGCAAGUAGACAAGCAACAUGUUGAACAUCACCUAAAAUCCACAUGUUGGUAUAAUAACACCUAAAAUCCUUAAGUGUCUUUUUUUACGAAUAGACUUAAGUCCACAUGUUGGUAUGACAACACCUAAAAUCCAACCUACGAGUGUAUUCUCCACUAGACUAAAACAAUAGCGAGCAGAGAGAAACAUCUAAAAACGAGUACGACCCUACACAGGUGCACAACUAAAAACAAGUACACACCUUCGACCUGACACAGAUAUACAUGUAAAAAGAGUACACAUCGAACAGUAAAUGGGUUUAAUAACAAGAAGGUAAGCCCGUUCGAAAUCAACGUCUAGGUGCGAAUUUUAAAAUAACACGUCUACGUAGAAACGUACGAACAAGACGAACUCGGGCGGCGGAGCGGCACUUCGGGAGACGACGUCGGAGAGUGAAGUGAUAGCUGCUGUGAGACGAGGUUGGGCAGAGACAGGUCAUGGCCUGUUUGGACAACAUUUC
rnacentral:rRNA from 1 species